UCGAUAAAUUGGCGAGCGACGCAGUGCCAAGCCGAGUUCACCGUCAGCUGUCGUGCAAGCAGCAUCGAAUCGCAAGCUUUAUUAAAUUACUUAUUCGACAACCGAAAAACAUCAACAUGCCGAAGCCAGAUUGCGACAAGUGCACCGACAAAUGCCAGGACUGCAAGUGCGGAGACAACUGCAAGUGCAGCUCGGGAGGCAGCUGCGGAGAUAAAUGCGGCUGCAAGUCUGGCGGGCAGUGCAAGUGCGAUCCAUGCCAUUGCAAGUGAUGAUCCGAAGACGUUACUCUUCGCUAAUGUGCACUAUUACUUCAAUUCCUACAACACUAUCGAUUAAUCUCAGUCACAACAAUUUUUUUCUAUUCUUUUCGCGAAAGCACGUCUCAAAAUGCAUUACAUGCUCUCUAUACCUAUAUACAACAGACUAUACUGCACAUCAGCUGUUGAAGUGUUUGUUUUGCCAUUGAAAUGUUGAAUUAAUAAACCUGUAUUGAACAUCAA